GCGUGCUUAACACAUGCAAGUCGAACGGUGAAGCAGGAGCUUGCUCUUGUGGAUCAGUGGCGAACGGGUGAGUAACACGUGAGCAACCUGCCCCGAACUCUGGGAUAAGCGCUGGAAACGGCGUCUAAUACUGGAUAUGCACCAGGAAGGCAUCUUCACUGGUGGGAAAGAUUUUUUGGUUCGGGAUGGGCUCGCGGCCUAUCAGCUUGUUGGUGAGGUAAUGGCUCACCAAGGCGUCGACGGGUAGCCGGCCUGAGAGGGUGACCGGCCACACUGGGACUGAGACACGGCCCAGACUCCUACGGGAGGCAGCAGUGGGGAAUAUUGCACAAUGGGCGGAAGCCUGAUGCAGCAACGCCGCGUGAGGGACGACGGCCUUCGGGUUGUAAACCUCUUUUAGCAGGGAAGAAGCGAAAGUGACGGUACCUGCAGAAAAAGCGCCGGCUAACUACGUGCCAGCAGCCGCGGUAAUACGUAGGGCGCAAGCGUUAUCCGGAAUUAUUGGGCGUAAAGAGCUCGUAGGCGGUCUGUCGCGUCUGCUGUGAAAUCCCGAGGCUCAACCUCGGGCCUGCAGUGGGUACGGGCAGACUAAAAGUGCGGUAGGGGAGAUUGGAAUUCCUGGUGUAACGGUGGAAUGCGCAAGAUAUGGGAGGAACACCGAUGGC
rnacentral:rRNA from 1 species